GAUGAACGCUGGCGGCGUGCCUAACACAUGCAAGUCGAGCGAUUCUCUUCGGAGAAGAGCGGCGGACGGGUGAGUAACGCGUGGGUAACCUGCCCUGUACACACGGAUAACAUACCGAAAGGUAUGCUAAUACGAGAUAAUGUGCUUUUAUCGCAUGGUAGAAGUAUCAAAGCUUUUGCGGUACAGGAUGGACCCGCGUCGGAUUAGCUAGUUGGUAAGGUAACGGCUUACCAAGGCGACGAUCAGUAGCCGACCUGAGAGGGUGAUAGGCCACAUUGGAACUGAGACACGGUCCAAACUCCUACGGGAGGCAGCAGUGGGGAAUAUUGCACAAUGGGCGAAAGCCUGAUGCAGCAACGCCGCGUGAGCGAUGAAGGCCUUCGGGUCGUAAAGCUCUGUCCUCAAGGAAGAUAAUGACGGUACUUGAGGAGGAAGCCCCGGCUAACUACGUGCCAGCCGCCGCAGUAACAC
rnacentral:rRNA from 1 species